ACCGGCGCAAGGGUGCGUAACGCGUGAGCAACAUGCCCGUAUCAGGGGGAUAAUCCAUGGAAACGUGGUCUAAUACCCCAUAGUAAAUUUUUGGGGCAUCUCAAAGAUUUUAAAGCUUUGGUGGAUACGGAUUGGCUCGCGUGACAUUAGCUAGAUGGUAAGGUAACGGCUUACCAUGGCUACGAUGUCUAGGGGUUCUGAGAGGAAGGUCCCCCACACUGGAACUGAGACACGGUCCAGACUCCUACGGGAGGCAGCAGUGAGGAAUAUUGGACAAUGGAUGGAAAUCUGAUCCAGCCAUGCCGCGUGCAGGAAGACGGCCCUAUGGGUUGUAAACUGCUUUUGUAUGGGAGCAAUAAGAUCUACGUGUAGAUUGAUGAGAGUACCAUACGAAUAAGCACCGGCUAACUCCGUGCCAGCAGCCGCGGUAAUACGGAGGGUGCAAGCGUUAUCCGGAUUUAUUGGGUUUAAAGGGUGCGUAGGCGGUUUGAUAAGUCAGCGGUGAAAUAUUUCAGCUUAACUGGAAGGGUGCCGUUGAUACUGUCGAGCUUGAAUUUAGUUGCUGUGGGUGGAAUGUGUGGUGUAGCGGUGAAAUGCAUAGAUAUCACACAGAAUAUCGAUUGCGAAGGCAGCUCACAAAGCUAAUAUUGACGCUGAUGCACGAAAGUGUGGGGAUCAAACAGGAUUAGAUACCCUGGUAGUCCACACU
rnacentral:rRNA from 1 species